UGAGGGAUAUUGCGCAAUGGGGGAAACCCUGACGCAGCGACGCCGCGUGGGUGAUGAAGGCCUUCGGGUCGUAAAACCCUUUUGCCACUGACGAGGAAGGACGGUAGGUGGCGAAUAAGCCUCGGCUAACUACGUGCCAGCAGCCGCGGUAAUACGUAGGCAGCGAGCGUUGUUCGGAGUUACUGGGCGUAAAGAGUGCGUAGGCGGCGAGCCAAGUUUGGUGUGAAAUCUCCCGGCUUAACCGGGAGGGUGCGCCGAAAACUGGUUGGCUGGAGUAUGGGAGAGGAAAGCGGAAUUCCUGGUGUAGCGGUGAAAUGCGUAGAUAUCAGGAGGAACACCUGCGGUGUAGACAGCUUUCUGGACCAAAACUGACGCUGAGGCACGAAAGCGUGGGUAGCAAACA
rnacentral:rRNA from 1 species